rnacentral:rRNA from 1 species
GCUUAACCGGAGAAGGGCAUCGGAAACUGGAUAACUUGAGUGCAGAAGAGGGUAGUGGAACUCCAUGUGUAGCGGUGGAAUGCGUAGAUAUAUGGAAGAACACCAGUGGCGAAGGCGGCUACCUAGUCUGUAACUGACGCUGAGGCUCGAAAGCAUGGGUAGCAAACAGGAUUAGAUACCCUGGUAGUCCAUGCCGUAAACGAUGAAUACUAGGUGUUAGGGGGUUUCCGCCCCUUAGUGCCGCAGCUAACGCAAUAAGUAUUCCGCCUGGGGAGUACGACCGCAAGGUUGAAACUCAAAGGAAUUGACGGGGACCCGCACAAGCGGUGGAGCAUGUGGUUUAAUUCGAAGCUACGCGAAGAACCUUACCAGGGCUUGACAUCUUCUGCUAAUCCGAGAGAUCGGACGUUCCCUUCGGGGACGGAAAGACAGGUGGUGCAUGGUUGUCGUCAGCUCGUGUCGUGAGAUGUUGGGUUAAGUCCCGCAACGAGCGCAACCCUUAUGAUUAGUUGCCAGCAUUAAGUUGGGCACUCUAAUGAGACUGCCGGUGACAAACCGGAGGAAGGUGGGGACGACGUCAAAUCAUCAUGCCCCUUAUGUCCUGGGCUACACACGUGCUACAAUGGAUGGUACAACG